CAGCAGGAUGGGAAAGUUAAAAAGUGGGGUGGGACUAUUGACAUUUCAGCUUUCCUGAAAGUGCCAAAUUCCAAUUCCUUGAUGAGAGUUGGCGCCAGAGGAAGGGAGAAAAGAUGCACGUAAUGAUGGAGCAACUGGUGAGCAUGGGGUUCCCCAACUCUCUGGCUGCUGAAGCUCUAAAGGCCGCCGGCGGCGACAUCGUCAAGGCCACCGACUGGAUUCUCAGCCGCAGCCAAACAACACCCAGUCCUCCUCAUCGUCAUACUGCUGAUACUGCAACUGCUUUACAAGCCCCUCAAAUUCACCAUGAUAAUAGCCCUUCUCCUCCUCCUCCUCUUUCUCCUGCUGCUGCCUCCUCCAAUUUCCAGCCCAAAAUCGAUCGCUUCUUUCACUUCCGUUGCAAAACUCAAACCCCAACGCCCGCUACUUCUUCUAAAUCCCAACUAUGCAAGGAGGAGGUGCAGCAGCAGCAGCAUGAUCAUGCUGAUGAAGACGUUCUUGAUGAUGAUGACCAUCACUUACAGGGAGGGAAGAGGCCUAGGCUAAGCAGCUCCCCGCAAGAACGCGAUAAUUAUGCUAGUAAACAACAGCCCUCCUCCUCGCCGGUGGCAUUUCCACGUGAACCCUUGUCGGAGCUGAUGAGGCCAUCCACCCUUGACCAAGUGGUUGGCCAAGAACACCUUCUGGGCCCCAAUUCCGCCCUCCGCUCCGCCAUUCGACAUAGCCGCCUCCCUUCUAUUGUCCUCUGGGGACCACCCGGCACCGGCAAGACCUCCAUCGCCAGAGCCAUUGUCAGUUCUUGCUCUGAUGUCUACCGUUUUGUUCCCUUUUCAGCCGUGAAUUCGGGGGUCAAGGAGGUCAGAGACGCGGUGGAGGAGGCUAGAAAGUGGAAAUCAAAAAACUCCAAGAUCGAUAACAAUAGGAGGAUGAGGACUGUUCUUUUCAUUGACGAGGUUCACAGGUUCAACAAGGCACAACAGGACUCUCUCCUACCGGUGAUUGAGGAUGGCAGCAUUGUUUUCAUAGGUGCCACCACUGAGAACCCAUCUUUCCAUUUGAUUACUCCAUUGUUGUCCCGUUGCACUGUGCUUGUCCUCAAUCCCCUCAAACCCCACCACAUUGCCACUCUCCUAAAGCGGGCCAUUUCGGAUUCCGAUAAGGGACUCUCAUCGUUCUCGAAAGUUCAAGUAGAGGAUGAAGCCAUUGAGUUCCUGGCAGCUCAUUGUGACGGAGAUGCAAGGGUGGCAUUGAACAAAUUGGAACUUUCGGCUACUACUGCAGCUACAGAGCGCUUUCAUCAGAAAAAAGGACGUGGAGGAGGAGAAGGAUCGUUGGAUUCAGAUGUGCUUUCGAUCACUGUAAGUCAUGUCAAAGAGGCAAUGCAGUCUAAGCAUAUAGCUUAUGACAGGGACGGUGAAGAGCAUUACAACCUCAUCAGUGCGCUCCACAAGUCCAUGAGAGGGAGUGAUGCUGAUGCGUCAAUCUAUUGGUUGGCCAGGAUGCUGGAAGGAGGAGAACAGCCCCUGUACAUUGCACGUCGCCUCAUCAGAUUUGCCAGUGAAGAUGUAGGCUUGGCUGAUCCAUCUGCCCUUACUCAGGCUGUUGCUUGCUACCAAGCUUGUCACUUUAUUGGCAUGCCAGAGUGCAAUGUGGUUCUAGCGCAAUGCGUUGCCUACUUGGCUCUGGCUCCUAAAUCAAUUUCCGUCUACAGAGCAAUUCAAGAUGCACAGAAGGUAGCACGAGACUCUGUUGGGCAGAAUGAGGGGGUGCCGCUUCACCUAAGGAAUGCACCGACGAAGCUAAUGAAGGAGAUUGGAUAUGGGAAAGGCUAUGUCUAUCCUCCUGACAAUCCUAAAGCUUCAUCUCAGACCUAUAUGCCACCAUCACUUCAAGGUUAUAAAUUCCUUCACUGGCCAAAUGCUCCAGGGGCUGAUUGAUAUCAUGCGUUGGGUCUGCCACUAUAUUAUUCUUUCUUUGUGAGUUGGUUAGCACCUUAAUAUGGACUCAGUUGCACCAGUGUCGCAGUCAAGAUCCAAAAGGUUUUAGGCGUAUGAAAAGAUUUGCUGUUGCUGCUGAACAUAGUGAAUUUGCAAGACAUCAAUACUAGGUCUGGUGGUUCUCUGAACUUGUUUUGUGGUUGAAGUUCCACUGUUUUUCUGUUUUCUUUUCCUCCCCAUUUUGAAUUUUGUUGUGACAAGGUGAAGGAUGGAUGUAACAAAGAUUGAAGAUAUCAUCUUACAGCUUACCUGCGAGCAUUUGUUACUUGAAACUUGGAAAUUAUUCUGAG